CUUGUCUCCUUACCUUUUGGGUACAGAAGGGUGGUUUCCCUGGGGUCCAAUGGGAGCUGGAGGGCCAAGGCUGAUGAGAGUCUGUCCUCAGUCCCUUUUCUCCUCCUGUGUAUACCUCCUCUACCUCCCCAGCGGCACUCUGUUACUAGUGAGGUGAGAUCACUUCCUCCCAGCAGGUAACAUCAAAGGGGCCAAGGCCGAGCACUCUUAAAGGGCUGAGGGCCCUUAAUUACAUCAGGUGCUGCAGUCCACAUGAUUUGGACCCCAGCAAGGGGCCCACAGAGCAGCUACUUUGGCCCCCCCAGGAGUAACUGGGCCCGGGGCAGCUGCCCCUUUCGCCCCCCUUUAAAGACGGCCUUGCAGACACUGCUGGACGAGGGGGAUACUCCCACUGGAAUAUACCGUUAAGUGGAUUAUCCCUCAGUGCAGCAGGACCGGCAUUGUACAUUUAAA